UACGGAGGGGGCAAGCGUUGUUCGGAAUUACUGGGCGUAAAGCGCACGUAGGCGGCUUUUUAAGUCAGGGGUGAAAUCCCGGGGCUCAACCCCGGAACUGCCCUUGAAACUGGAGAGCUAGAAUCUUGGAGAGGCGAGUGGAAUUCCGAGUGUAGAGGUGAAAUUCGUAGAUAUUCGGAAGAACACCAGUGGCGAAGGCGACUCGCUGGACAAGUAUUGACGCUGAGGUGCGAAAGCGUGGGGAGCAAACAGG
rnacentral:rRNA from 1 species